UCUCUCGUGGUGUAGGGUAAACUCGCCUUAUCUAGUGAAUAGGAAGUCGUGAGUUCGAUUCUCACCGAGAAGA
rnacentral:tRNA from 1 species